CACGUAGGGCGCAAGCGUUGUCCGGAAUUAUUGGGCGUAAAGAGCUCGUAGGCGGUCUGUUGCGUCCGCUGUGAAAACUCGGGGCUUAACCCCGAGCCUGCAGUGGAUACGGGCAGACUAGAGGUAGGUAGGGGAGAAUGGAAUUCCCGGUGUAGCGGUGAAAUUCGUAGAUAUCGGGAGGAACACCGGUGGCGAAGGCGGCGACCUGGGUCGAGACUGACGCUGAGGAGCGAAAGCGUGGGGAGCGAACAGG
rnacentral:rRNA from 1 species